AAUUUUGAAUAUAUGUAUAUUUUUGAAUGAAUUUUUGAUAUAAAUCAAUUUUAAUUUAUUAUUUUGAUUUGAAUAUAUAUAUAUAUAUCAAGCAACAUAGACUUAUUACUUUUUAAUAUAAUGUAAUAGAUUUUAAAUUGUUUUAAUAGCAUAAACCCAUUAUUUUUUUCCUAAUUUACCUAUACAUGUGUCCAAACAAUACUAUUUUUUAACUAUUAUUCAUAUUGCCAAACAAUCUCAGUGUACUUUAACUUUAAUAAUAUAGAUGUUUUUGUUUUAGAUAAGAGAAAAGGUAGAGGCAUUUGUCAGUGAAAAGAAAAAGAAACGAAGGAGAGAGAGACUUUUGUUGUGUGGUAGUAAUUCGUGAAAUACGCAUGUAAUGGCUUAUAUAUAUAUAUAUAUAUAUACCUUCACUGAAGUUUUUUUUUUUUUUUUUGUAACUGUAUACCUUCACUGAAGUUGUAUAGUUUUGUUUAAAAAAAAAAUUGUAUAGUUUGCCAACAAAAAUCAAAGGGUAUUCCGUAUUUGUCUUGAGGAAACUUCGUAUUGUCAGAUAUAAAUACAUUUUGGUAGAGGAAGAAAAAAGCAAAGCAGCAUUUAUUCAUUAGAAUAAUUCCUGACCGUUGAGAUGAGAUCAAUGACUGGGAAUGGUUUCGAAAUUGUAAACAUUUACCGAACACGUUUGACUAUUUAACACUUUAGAUGCAGACUUUUCCACCAAUCUACACGUCAUGUUUAGUAGCUUUGGUGCACGAAUGAAUGACGUGCGAAGAGAGAAGUGGGUGUUUCGGUACAAAUAUGAAUGCUUUGGUAAGAUCUUUUUCUCCAGUCUAUCUUUGCAGAAACCCAGAUUCUCUUUUAAUCCCGUUAAAACUGGAGAAGAAGAAGAAGAAGUCACUCUGCCACAUUUUGUAACUUGUAAGUAUCCGGGGACAUAUUAAGGAGUAGAGAUUUUGAUCAAAAAAAUAUUAAGGAGUAGAGAUAAACGGGUUUCAGUUAAGGGCGGCACACUUUUGUCUUCUAGAGAAACAUUUGAGGCUGGGUUCUUUAGAUUAGCAGCAACUGAAGGCUGGUUUUCAGGAAUUUGGUACAAUAAUGUACCCGAAAAAACUUAUGUUUGGGUAGGUAAUAGGCAAUAUCCUUUACACAGUUCUAACGGGAACUUAGAAAUCUAUGAUAGUAAGUUGGUUAUCGGAACCAAGUUUAUUGGAGCACUUCCCUUGUUGUUUAGAUUAACAUGGAACGACCAGCAGAUCUCGUAUUUGUCAAUUACUACUACAGACAACAGAUCCUACACAAGAGGGUCUAGACCUUUAUGUGCGAACGUCUGGUCGUGGUAAUUAACUUCUCAACUCUUUGGAAUCUGUUUACUUAAUUAAUUGCUUUUAUAACUCUUUUCUUUUUUUUCCAGGGAAGAAGAAAAGCAAAACAGAAUUGAUGGUAGAUACUUGUGUUUGCAUCUCGGUUUUGGCUCUUUUCUUAGCAUUACUUUGCUACUGCAAGAGGAAAAAGAAGAGAGAAAGAGCCACUACCGCAGCAUCAAUUGGUAAUUAAGUAAAGAAAGAGAAUUUGAGCAAAAAAAGAUAUCUAUAUAUAUGUUUUAUUAAUUGCAUAGGUACAUUCUUAUAACUCUUUUUAUUUCUUCUCUAAAUUUUUUGAAGAAAUAAUGAUGCCAAUGGAAAGAGAAAACGCAAUAGAGGAUCAACCACUGCCCCAAUGGAUUUUGCGAUGAUACAUUGAUACUGAAUGCCACAGACAACUUCUCUCAAGAGACCGGACCAUGGUGGGUUUGGGUAUGUGUAUAAGGUCAAAAAAAAAUUGUCCUAGCAUUUCACAUUCUGUUGCAUGCCUGCAUUAUAGUUGUGUGUAUGUAUUGUUGACCAUGUGGGGUUCGUUUGUGUCUUCAUAGUGCUUUAUGGUAUGUAUGACCAGGGUGUGUUAGCCAACGGGGAAGAAAUCGCUGUCAAGAAACUUUCAGAAAUCUCGAAACAAGGGUUGGAUGAGUUUCGUACCGAGGUGAGGUCUAUUUCACCCGUUAGACAGAUUAACAUCGUCCGCCUGUAUGGUUGGGGAGUGUUUACAAGGAAGAGAAGCUAUUGAUAUACGAGGAUCUAGUGAACGGAAGCCUGGAACGUGAUUUAUUUGGCGGUGGUGAGCUAAAUUGGAAAACGAGAUUUCAUAUUAUCAAGGGUGUAGCUCAAGGCCUAGCAUAUAUCGAAGAAGGGGUUUUUGUUCUUGAAACUGUUAACGGGAAAAAAGAACAGAUCAUUCUCCUCUUCCAUUGGCUAUCUUCUCGGCUACGUAAGCUUUUUUAGAAUUGAUGUGUUUUGUUUCUUUGAGAAAUAGAAAAAUUGAAGAAACAGAAACAACCAUUGUGUUUUCUUUGUUUCGUUGGAAAGGCGUGGAACAGAUAUAAUGAAAGAAACUGGAGUGAAAUCAUUGAUGAGAAGAUCAGACAAGACUGUGUACAGUCUUGGCAAGUGUUGAGAUGUAUUGAAGUGGGACUCUUGUGGUGUCUUAUUAUUUUGCAAGGGACAUACCAAAAAUCUCCCUGGUCGUGGCUCUACUCCAAGAGGAAGCAAUUGAGAUUCAAAAGCCAAAAUGCCCUGGCUUUUUACCCAAUUGAUGAAGGCAAAAGUGGGAUUCCUUCCUCUUCAAACUCGCAGGGAGAAUCUUCCACAUCUACUUCCUUUAAUGUUGCUGCCUACACGGUUUCAGAGACUGAUCCUCAGUGAAUUGUUAAUUACUUACUAUUGUAUUUGGAGGACCUCAAGAAAAUAACAACACUUUGCGGCUGAUCAUAGCUGGAACUUGGUGAUAAAAAAAACAAAGAAAGAUAAUACACCAAGUUCUAGGUACGAUCAGCCGAAAAGUUUUGUUAUUUUCUUGGAGGUCCUCCAAAUACAAUAGUAAGUAAUUAAGAAUUCACCGAGGAUCAGUCUCUGAAAUCGUGUAGGCAGCAACAAUACUAUUUUCCAUCUUUCAUAUAAUAACCUGUUUAGCUUAUGACUAUUGUGUUUUUCUUUUUAUUUGUCAACAUUGUACAUUGUGUUGUUCUUAUUUCUGUAUUUUUCCACAUUGUUCUUUUCCCCAAUUUAGAAAUUUGGUUUAAAUACUUUGACCAAAAAAGGAAGAAAUUUUGUUUAAAAACAUUUUACAAAAAAGAAAAACGUUAAAUAACUAUAACGCUUAACAUCUCAGCAUCGUUUUAGGCAGCCUCGUCUAUUUAUUUCAACUUUGUUACAUAUUAUUUUGAUUUUUUAUUUGGCAUUACACCAAGCGGAGUGGGCGAUUCCGCGCCGAUAAAGCGCUCGGCAGAGCUCCGCAGCCGCGAUUCUGCAAUACUCGAACUAAAACGUAUACAGCCUGGAGUUUUCGAGUGAAAAUCAGUAAUAACUUCAUAGAUCUUUCAUAGUUUAGUGUUACUAAUAUAAUAGGUAAACUAAGUUAAUAUGAAGUAAAUCGAAAAAAUGGUGUAUAUGUUGAAAAUAGGCAUUUCAGUUCAGACUUCAGUACUGUUUCGGUUCGUUUGUGUCGAUUUUCAGUAUUUCAGUUUAUAAAAAUUAGCUACCAUAUUAAAACCAUAUCUAAUUUGGUUUGGUUCGACUUAUAUACCAUCAAUUUUUGGUUUGGUCGGUUUUAUACAAAAAAAAAUCAUAACUGUAUUUAUCUUUUAUAACAAAUUUUAGAUUAUGUGAAUAGAAGUAAGAUUUAUUAAAACAUAAAUAUAUAUUCCUUAGUCUAACUUUUAAAUAUAAUAUUUUCUAUUUAAAUAUUUAAAUAAUAAUAAGAAAAUAAUAAUACCAUAAUAUAAUUAUAUUUUAGCAUAAGGAGUUAUCAAUAAAAUAUAUUUUAUUUAAUUUGAUAAAAAUGAGAAAAACAAAAUCACCACUUUAACUUAAAGCAAAAUAAAAAUUAUUAAAAUCAAUGUUUUGAUUAUGGAUAUCAUAUUAAUAAAAUAUAUUAUGCAUAUAUUAUUAAUAUUAUUAUAAAUUUUACAUUAAAGUAUACUAAAUUUUUUAAUUCCUCGGUUUCUUCGGUUAAUUCGGUGUGAUCGGUUUAUAUACUAAACCAUAUUCAUAUACUGCAAUUUCUUAAAAAUGACAUCCAUUCGGUUUAUUCUUUACUACCAAAUCCAACCAACUUUCUCUGUUUAGGUUUUGUUUUAGUUGGUUACGUUUUACCGGAUUGAAACCCCUAGAUGAAAACACAGAAAAUGACUGCAAAAAUUAGGUUAGAGCCCCUGGAGAAAAAAA